UACGAAGGGUGGCAAGCGUUGUUCGGAUUUACUGGGCGUACAGGGAGCGUAGGCGGUUGGAUAAGCCCUCCGUGAAAUCUCCAGGCUUAACCUGGAAAGUGCAGAGGGGACUGUUCAGCUAGAGGAUGGGAGAGGAGCGCGGAAUUCCCGGUGUAGCGGUGAAAUGCGUAGAGAUCGGGAGGAACACCUGUGGCGAAGGCGGCCCCCUGGGCCGGCCCUGACACUGAGGCGCGAAAGCUAGGGGAGCAAACAGG
rnacentral:rRNA from 1 species